GCACAAAUAGCGGCAGCCCCAGUGACCAGCCUUGGAGGUGGCUGCAACAGUGACAGUAGCAGCUUUGGAGGCUCUCAGCCCAGACGAGGGUCCAGGUCUAGUGGUGGCUGAAGUUUCCUGAGUCACAAGGGAAGUGACAAGGUUGGACUUGUGUCUGAGGAAUGUCGAUUUGGCUGUUGGAUAGAGGACAGAUUGGACAGGGAAGGAGAUUAUCCCCAUUUUACAGAUGAGGAUAAUCAAGCCCUAAAGAGGAUGACUGCAGAUACCUUGCCCACGGUCACUUAACUCAUGAGGGUCAGAGGCCGGAUUCCUACCCAAGCCUUCCCGACUCCAGGUCCAGGUCCAGCACUGUGCCUGCCUUGUAGUGAGGAGGAGGAGGAGGAGGAGAGGAGGACGAGGAGGAGGAAUGUUUCAAGCAAGCGAUGGGGAAGAAACAGUUUGUGCAAAGGCAUGGAGAUGGGAAACUGAAUCUCAAGCCUGAAAAAUGUUACACAAUGACUGGGUCUAUUUCUCAGACCUGUUUCCCAGAGUCCUCCUUAUUGCAAAGCCCUCAAGGCUAAGUUUUUGCUUGCCCUUUUGUGUGAGAUCUCUUGACUGACACUGGGGUGGAAAAUUUUCCAUGAACCUCCAUCUAAAAUCUUCCUUUAUUUAAUUUCAUCUUAAUUGCCUCAAUUAGGUUCCUUUAAUAUUUGCUUAACAGACUCUUACUUAGUCCUUUCAGUUCUUAACAACAGCUGCCAAAUGGAGUCUUUGUUCAGGGUUCCUUUCCUAAUAGGCUUCACACCAGCCCUGUUUGUUUUCCACCAGGACAAUUUCCAAUAAACCUGAAAAACGUUUAGCUGGUUAUUCAAGCCCCCAUGGACCAAGCUCACUUGACAGCUGUCACUCAUCUCAUUCAGGUCCAGGAAAUGGAAAAGUAUUUGUUUUUUCUCAUGGGAGGCAAUCUACUAUUAGGGGCCAGGGUGUGGUGGGGGUGAAUUUCACUGGAUUUGGACAAUUACAUCUGAAAAGGCAUCGAAAGCCAUGAAUUUCUCUUUCAGAGCUUCACAUCCUGAAUUCACUGGUGCCAAGCUUUCUUUCUCACCCUUCCCGUCUUUAGCUUUUAUUUCAUAUAAAUUAUCCUGAAUUUCAAAGUUGGAAGGAAGCCCCGAGCCUAUCCCCUUUAAAAAAAAAAAAGCUUUGAUAAAUGGUCAUCUAGGUUUUGAUAUGGUGAGGGGAGGUCACUCACUACCCAUAAGGCAACCUAUUUCAACUUGUGCUAUUUAUAAUUGCAAGGAUGCUUUUCCUCACCCCUCUCUAAUCUCCCAGUAUCAGUCCUUAAGAGAAAAUUCACCAGAUCCUAGAUUUUGAGCCAGAAGAGUUCUUAGCUGUCAUCUAAUACCUUGAAUCAUUUUUAUAAAUGAAACACUCAAUGAUCAGAAAGGGAAAGGAAUUUGUCUAAGGUCACACAAGAUGAACCAGAGCCAGAAAUCAAACCCAUAUCCAAUCACUUAAAGCCCAGCAAGUUUUCUGCUCUAAUGAAUAGUUUCCUGAUUGCCCCGACGUCUUGGAAUUCCUCUUUGGCGUGAUUGAUGAUACUAAAUCUGAGAUUUGCCACUCUUUGGAAUGAUAGUGGCAAGAAUGAACCUAAAUCAUUCCAGACACUUUUCUCUGGUGUAUUUGAUCUGUGCAAGCCUGCUUCAAGCAUAGAGUAAACAACUUCCCCUAGAAAAACGAUGAUACUGCCUGGUCUGGCUAGCACUGGUGAUAUAGUGAAAAGAGUACAGCCUUGGAAUAAGAGAAUUGCUAUUCAAAUCCCACACUAUUCCAACACACUGUCUUCAGAUACACACUAUUUGAAGUUAUAAUUAUAACUUCAAAAUAUAAAUAUAAAUAAAAUAUAUAAAUAUAAAUAAAAAAA